rnacentral:RNase_P_RNA from 1 species
GGUUCUGAGUAAUCGCGGUCAGCAAUUGCUGGCUGAGGAAAGUCCACUCUCGCACAAGCUGAGAUGCUUGUAGUGUUCGUGCCCGGUGAAAAAAUAAGCCGAGGGAUUGUGUUACACAAUUACGGCGAAGGAAAUGGCUACGGAUUUUCUAGGCCUCAGUACUUCCUAAGGUGCUAUAGAGACGAUUAAUUCAAGAAAUUGAAUUACUGGAACGCAGUAAACCCCGCGAGCGGGAAACCCAAACUUUGGUAGGGGAGCUUUACACACGGAAAUUGAACCAAGUGUAGGGCAAGAAUCAUUAUGAUUCUUGAGAUAGAUGAUUACUACUUGAUUGUUAGUCCUGAUCUUUCAAUUAAGCACAAAACAUGGCUUACAGGA